rnacentral:misc_RNA from 1 species
GAAAUGCGAUAUGUAGUGUGAAUUGCAGAAUUCAGUGAGCCAUCAAAAUCUUGAACGCAACUUGCACUUAUAGGUUAACCUAUAAGUAUAUCUAUCAGAGUGCCAUUUUUUUAAAAACAUCUUUUAUAAAAAACUCUAAGAGAUUUUAUAAAACUAAUUAGAUGUUCAAAGAGUAUUUCAAUAUCUCUUUUAUCAUCUCAAAUUGAUUUUGUGAAAAAAGAUUUCUCUUUUAAACCUAAAAAAAAUCACAUACAAGAGAUAAAUUCUCCCAAAAAGUGAUUUUUUUCAAAGAGAUAUAUCUUCACGAAAGAAAGAAAAAACUUUGGUUUUUUACUAUCAUUCUCAGUGGCCUCUGAUUAGAUAAGAUUUACCUGCUAAACUUAA